AGCUGCAUGGCGCAGCGGAAGCGCGCYGGGCUCAUAACCCGGAGGUCACUCGAUCGAAACGAGUUGCAGCUACCA
rnacentral:tRNA from 1 species